GGGGUAGGCUCUUUAUUAGACGGUUAUUGCUGUACUACAGGGUCAGAGUGCAGUGUAAGCAGUGUCAGAGGCCCGCGUUCAGCCCAAGAAUGUGGAUUUUCUCUCCCUAUUGAUCACAGUGGGUGGGUUUCUUCAGAAAAGCCCCAGAGGCAGGGACCAGUGAGCUCCAAGGUUAGAAGUGGAACUGGAAGGCUUCAGUCACAUGCUGCUUCCACGCUUCCAGGCUGGGCAGCAAGGAGGAGAUGCCCAUGACGUGCCAGGUCUCCCCAUCUGACACCAGUGAAGUCUGGUAGGACAGCAGCCGCACGCCUGCCUCUGCCAGGAGGCCUGGAAAUAGAAGAAACUCCUGGUUGGCACAGGGGAUAGGGGAAAAAGGAGCGAGGGAUUGGGAGCAGAAUCAGAAGUUCAAAGCUUUUGUGAUCAAAGGUGCAAUGAGCGGAUGAUGGUCUCAGAAUCAAAGAGCUGAGAUGGGAGAGCAACAGGGCAUCUGCUCAGCUUCCAUGGAUAUUCCUGACUCUCUGGGAACACCAUGACCAUCAGCUGUAGCUCUUGACUUUCUGAUUGCCAGUUUUAUCCAGCCAACAGCAAGGGAGAAAAGCAGGGAAGUUCCCUUGGGCAGCCAGAAAGAAUGGUGAAAUUAGGCCCUUCAGGGUUUGAAGGCACACCCUCCGCCAAACAUGGACGUGUGCCAAAACCCCUAGCAGCCCAAGCCCCAGCUGACUGGGGCAGGUCCAAGACGCCUACCAUGGCUGGAGGCUUUGUAGGUUUUGCUGCAGCUGGGCUGGCCACCAGGGACAGCCACAGGGCCAGCAGGUAGGAGUAAGAAACCUGCACUCAAUGUCCCUGAGCUCCUGGGCUAUGGCUCCACAAGCUGGUCCAGUGUACCUAACAUGGCAAGCUGAGGAUCCACAGCUGGGCAGGAAUAGAGGCUAUGGCCCCACCCCUGCCAUGCUGCUCUGUGACCCUGGAUAAGGCACUUUCCCUCUUUGAACUGAGUAUCCACUCCCUGAAGGUUCUGAAAACUGGCAUCAGACCCUCUGUAUGGUGCAGAUCCAGAGACACCCUGGGACAUGAAGAGGGGCUAAAGGAAGGUGGGUAGAGUUCAAUUCCAGGGCAGACCCCACCCCAGCCUCAAGGACACCAGCCAGCCCUACAGGGCCCUCCUCACCAAUCAUGGUAGGCAGCAUUGCAGGGUCAGAGGUCUGAGUCCGGAAUAGGAGCAGGGGCAGGUCCCUGCGGAGAGGCACUUCUGGCCUGAAGACAGCUCCAUUGAGCCCCUGCAGUACAGGCGUAGUGCCUUGGACCAAGCCCACAGCCUGGUAAGGGGCGCCUGCCAGGGCCACGGCCAGGAGGCAUUCCCCGAAGCCUUGCUCCCCUGGUGCAGCAGGGCUGUGGGAGGGGCGCACAUUGAGGCCAGCCUCUUUCACCAGCAGCUUAGCGUUCACCAAGUUCACAUCCGCCUGCUUGGAAGCCUCUUUCAGGAGGCCGACAAUGACUGCGGGGCUUAGGCAGUUCCCAGCAUUCUUCAGGGAUGUUCCUGGGGACAGAGAGAAGCUACCAUGAGGUCACUGUUUGUUGAGCACUACAGGAGGGGGCAGGAAGCCACUGGCACCUAGCUCUGGACUAUGGGCUCCUCGCUGCCCUGGGGACCCCAAAGGCAGCUUGCUCCAGGCAGGUCCACUCGCCCUUCAGUGGGCUCAGAAGAGGCAUAAUCUGGGCCCAAGCCAGGAAACCCAGGAUGUUUUAACCACCCUGAGAAACUCCUCUCCAAAACUCAGCUCAACUCCACUCCGCUCCCCAACCCUGCACCUGGCUUGGCCAUCCUGGCCUACCUAUUAUUCUCCCAGGGGACACAGGAAAAUUCCCUACUCUUACCCCUUCCUGGCACUCAGAGCCUUGCCAGCCUCAGGAAAUCAAAGCAGAAAGAAGUAACCGAAGCAACUGCUGCCCAGCUCCCUGCCUUGUUUCCUUCGGCGCUUGGACACCCAGGCCAGUGGGACCCCCUGGCUCUGCCCUUCCCUGGUAUUGUCAAUGCCUAGGGUUUAGCUGCCCUCUCCCUGCAAUCUCUGCCCAACUGUGAGACACCCAAGAGUCCAUGGGGAAAGAUACACGUCUACAGGGUUAAGGAAACUGGAGCCCUCCUUGGUCACUCAACCACAUCCGCACAGUACUGGAUCCACUGCAAAGGUGGCCACAGCCCACUCAGCAGCCCGAGGGGUGGUCAGAGGGCACUGUUCUCAUUCCCACUCCACGGCUGAGCAAACUCUCUCUCGAGGGCUGUCAGACGGCCCAAGGUACCACCUUAGUAAGUUACAGAGCACAAAGUGUCCUCACCGCUCCUGGCUCAUCUGCCCCUAACUCUCACUUUACAAGUGAAGAAUCCAAGCCUCAGAAGGGAGAGUCACACAGCAGGGAAGAGACAGGGCCAAAAACCAGAAUCCAGCAUCCUGUUGCUUAAUUAGGGCCUCCCUCCAGCCAUCCUACGACCUCUCGCAUGAAACUCUCUCUCUCGUAGAGGUUUCUCUUGCACCCAAAAUAUCUAGGUCUUAAAAAUGCUACAUAAACAUGAUUUAUGAAUAUUCAGUACAUCUUUCCAACGACUUUUUUUAACCCCUCCCUUUACCACCCUCCCACCAGUAGUAAGGGAGCUAUACUCAGGGCAGGGUCCAAGGCACCCUCACUGCCUCUCACUAACCCUGUGUCCUGCAGCAAAUACACCCAGCAGGGCAGAUCCCACACUCCCUCAUCCCCUCCUCCCCCUCCCUCUGCAAGGUCCCCAGCUCACCCUGUGUUAUCACCUGGAUGGUCCCUUUGGGGGACCCAGCCCAGGCUCGCAUCAGUGUCCCCAGAGCUUCUGCCAGACCAAUCCAAGGCUUGGUGUGUGGAGAGAAGGCACUGGUAAGGGCCUGGGCAUUCACCUGCAGAGGAUGGAGGAGCGGGGCUGUGGUCAGGAAGAGGCAUGGCAGAUCCUGAAUCAAGAUCUGGCUGCCAAGACCCAGCUCCACAAGAAAGACAGUAUAGGGUCACUCCUGCCUUGGUGCCUGGUGGGUGACAACUUCCAUCAGCCACUAACAACAGGACAAGGACUUGUUCCUACAAAUGAAGAAAGCUGUGGAGCCAGAAAUGGACACAGAAUGCCACAACCACUCAAAAUUGCUCCUUUCAGCAAACUGUGUCUGCCCCAGCCCCCUCCAUGGGAGACUUGUUUCUGCACUGGGGAAGGGAUUGGACAGCACAAUAAAGGUGAGUCUUUGACACAAAACAUAUGGGAGUCGCAGAUAACUUGGAUGAGGAGUGACGGGUCUUCUCUGGCAGUCCCAACUUGCCUUCAUUUUUAUUUUCUAUCUUGAAUUUUUUUAAGUGUUUACAUUGUUACUAAACACUACGAUCAAUUAUCACAAAGUUUUGAUGAUCGUGCUUCAAAUAUCAACGCAUGCGAAGUCCACUGUGAGGCAUGUUGUGACACUGAGGGGACACAAGCCCCAUAUCCCCCAAAAGUUAUGUCUAGGACCUGGCUGGCUGCCCCCUGCCCCACCCAGGGGCCUGAUAACAGAACCAGCUUGUUCUGGGCCAAAAUUUCAAUUCCAUUUUGUGGUUCAAAAUGCUCUGGUUCUGAGUUAGGCAUCUGGCCACUUUUAUUGAGAUAACUUGUAAAGUCAACCAUCUUAGAAAGAUGCAAAUCAAACAGGCAGCUACAAGAUGUAAUUAGAAGGAAACACAGAUGCUUCUCUUUCUGUUUUCAUAAAGAUAUCAUUGGAAGAAUUUUUUUUUUUUUAAACAGAGAAAGAAUCAUGGUAUGGGAAAUGACUGCUGAGGCCGGGCUUCACGGGAGCCUCUCCAGUGUGGGAGGUGACAGGUCUGCAGGCUUCUUGCUGCAUGGCUCCUGGAUCCUCUCCAAGGAGUCACAGACAAGAAGGGUGGUGGGGUGGAGCAGCUAGCUGCUGGGAGGAGAUCUGGAGCACCAUGCUGCCACUGCCGGGGCUGAGGGCCUGCAGCAGCAGAGGAAAGUCCAACUAAGAGGGCCCAUAACGCAGGCACCUCGGCACAUCUCUCUGUCCUCUGUGUGGGCCUGCAGAGCCCAAGCCCGGGGAGGUGUCCAUCACAGGGCUCCCAAGUAAAAGGAGGAUUCUCAGUCUUCCCUGGUGGACAGGUGGGAGAAUUCCAGGGAGGAGUCAGGCACUUUGGGACACCAACCUGACCCUAAUGUUAUUCUGUGUCUGAGGUUAGAACAGAAUUGAACUGGGGAAAAUGCAGGGAAGAAUUAGGAAAAUAUAUUUCUUAUGUGACAAAAAUGUCUCUUUUUCCAAAUGGCUACUCUAAGACUAUUUGCUGAUGUGGGUGAACAGUUCAAUUUGCUAAGGGUAGUUAUUUUGACCAAGAGGUUUCACCUCCUAAGAUGGGGACACUGUGUGGUCCAUUUGAUGGAACUCUGUGUCCUGCAGCAGAUACACCCAGCAGGGCAGAGCCCAUACACCUCUCACCCCCUCCUCCCCAUCUCUCUGCAAGGUCCCCCUCCCUCCCCCACCCCCUCGCUCUGCCAGAGCUUAUAUUCAGGAGUCCCUUUCAGGAAAAGCUCUGGAAUGUCACUGCUACCUAAUGGUAAUGGCAAUAAAUUGCAAGGCUGCGAUGGGGAAGGCAGACAGCUGCUUUCUGAGAAGGCUGAAAGGGUAAAACCCUGAAGCCCAGAUUGGCUGGCAAUGGUGAUGAGCUCAAACCUCAGCCUGGGAAACGAGCAGCAUCUCCUGGGAGGAACGAACCUGCUCAGAGGCCGACCAGGUGCAAGAUGAGUGAAGUGUGCUCUGCCCUGAGGAGCCCACACAGCAUAGAGGACAGAGGAUGCAGACAGGUCAGAGUCUCUGCUGACCUCCUCGCAUGCUGCUGGUCAUAGCCCUGCUGACUUCCAUGGACUGUGUGGGGCUGCUGGGCAGCAGGAGGCACCCUUCUUUCCUCAGGAUGGAGGGGGCAGAGAGGCCUGGAGGGCUGGGCUCUCAAUCCAGAGGUGGGAGGGCAGAACCAAAAUCCCCGUCUCUCCUGCCACAGUGCUGUCCUCACCAGCGAAAAUCACCCAGCUGAGGGUCAGCCAGGACAACCAAGAACACCCAGCCCAUUUUCCUGACCCUUUGACUCCAUGGCCUGGGCCCACCCACACAAGCUGCAGAGAGGCUUAAGUCAUGUUUUUUUGUCCUCAGGGAACUUAGAACUUAGGUUAAGUAGAAAGAUUAGGGAAAAAAAAAAACACCCCAUGGAACUGAACCUUAAUAACAAGAAAGAACAUGGUUCUCAGAAUUGAGAAGGGGCUGGAAAGGCCAAGCAAGACUUCAGAAGGAGGCAGCAAGCCCCUGGAAGGAGAGCUAUGCCUCCCUCAUGCACCCGUGUCUCCCAAGAGCUAUGACAAUGUCUGGUACCCAGUGAAACUUAAGGAAUAUCCACAGACUGAAUGAAUGAGACAGGACUUGAAGUGUAAGUCAGGUUAAGCUCGUAGGAGACGCACAUGCCAGGAAGGGCUUGAUGGAAGCAAAGACAAGAAGUGGGGGUCUUAUGCCUUGAUUUGGGGAAAGCAAGGGGGUCAGCCAGCACAGAGGGCUCAUUUGGGAGUAGGUAGGGCAGGCUGUCAAGGCAGGGUCUGGGGAGCUUACAGGGUGCAAAUUUCUACAUGGCCGUCCCCAACCACAUCCCCACCUGCUGCGGCUGCGUCCAGCUGGCACCCAAGCAGCACUCCUUCACUCCCACGGCAUGUGGAGAACAAAGGAGCCUUUCUCUAGAGGCUGGGCCUGGGAAGGGCCACAAUCUCUGCAGCAAGACUACGAUAUAACAGGCCUGAGCCGGGCUCUCUGCUGCCAAGGCCUCUGCUAUCAAGGCUGGAGACGGGAGGCUCCCGCCCACCUGCUCCGGAGAGUGCUGACUCAAGCAGAUUUCCCUUAUCUUCAGCUCCCAGGGCUGAAUCUAUUCACCCACGCUGCCACCAGCCCCUACAAGAUGCCUUCCUUCCUCUCCUCCCUCUGACUCCUGGCCCCCAGCCCCAGGUGGUGAUACUUACAACCCCCGUGAGAGAUUUCCCCUUCACCAUGUCCACGAACUGAACAGCAAUUUCCUCCCCACAGCGGCUCUGAGCCUCCUUGGUGCUGGCACCCAGGUGGGGACAGCUGAUGACAUUCUCAUGGUCCACCAAGGCCCGGUCCCGUGGCGGCUCCUGCCCAGAAAGAGAUACCUCUAAGUUGGCUGCCAUGGACUGGCCACACCCUCUUGGGCCACCCCAGGCAACAGGAAAGUUGGAGGGAAGGCAGUCAGGAGUUCUGGUGCCUUCCACUUCUAUUUUGUCAGGGUGGUCACUGGACUCAAUAAUGGGCUUCCACAUGAAUGUUCCAUCUCAGCAGAGUGGACACAGCACAAAGUGUGAACCAGAUUCAAAUCUCACCUUCACCACUUAACCACCUAGGUGCCUUGGGGGUGAACCUUGAUCUAAGCCUCAGUUUCUUUAUCUGUGAAAUGGGUUGAUCCUAUCUCCCUCAUAACAUUACUGUGGGGAUUAUGCACCUUUAACAUGGGAGGCCCUUGACCAAUAGGAGCUACUGUUGUUGUUGUUACUGGGCUUUUCCCCGAAACUCACCCCCCUGCAUCCAUGCAGCACUUGCUGUCGAUGUGCCUUGCUGGACUUUUAGCACAGUGUCCUGCUCUUCCAAGACACUCCACGCAGGUAACUGCAUCUUGGCUCUCAUCAGGACAGGUUGCCCAUCUGUGGCACCUCCACCCCACCCUCCAGUGUCUUUUCCACCCUUCUGCUCACUGAGAAGAUUGCCCUUGGGUAUGUUAUUUAGGCAUCUUCCGGCCAUUCUCCUCAGGGCUCUGUUGGUCCCAUUGAAUUUUGACCAUUUAACCCUGUGAGUCCUGGCCACAUGUAACCAUGUAAUCCUGUGAGUCCCGGCCACAUGUAACCAUGUAAGUACCACCAGCAAGUGGUUCAAGGAUGCUGAAGAGAGCAGGAGAAGGUGCUGUGUUAGGGAGGAUGGUGAUACAAAGAUGGACAAGGCUUGCCCUGCCUUCAGGGAGCUUAUGAUCUAAGAGCUGAGAAAGAUGACCAAGGUUACAAACCAAAAGGCACUGUGUGCCCUGGGCUGGGAGUACACAGUGAGUGCUACAGGGGCUCAGAGAGGGCCAGUGACCUUCCAAGGACACACAGCUAGUAACCUGCGAACCACAACUACCUAAUCCAAAGUCCAUGUCCUUUCCCCUUCCUCACCAGGGGAAGCUCCAAUGUUGGGGACAGGAUCUUUCAGGAGAGGAGCCAAAAGGAUUCGAGUGCAAAUGCACUCUUCCCUACUGGAUCUGGUGUGAGGCUGAGCCUCUGCUCCAGCUGGGAAAGCAGCCCACCCCGAGGACCCUGAGGGAAUACUGCCAGUAUCCUCGGGCUUCUGUCCACCCAGCAAGAGAAGAAGGGAAAAAGAAUGCCCAUGGACACUGAAAAGGACAUUUUCUUGGCAAUGGGACUGCAUUUCCAUCAGGGUCCCUCAACUAUACACUAAAGCCCCCUCUCUUCCUGCUCCAGACCCUCAACUUCAGAACUGAUUUGUGGCUUUAUCUUUGUCAAUAUGUUAGCAGUCUGAGAAGCCCGGAACCAGGAACUGGGUCCCCUUUAAAGCCCGAGUUUUGCAGAAAACCACAUAGCUGCCUCCAUACCAGGCUCCGCAAGGACUCCUCAAACCACAAAGGUGUGUUUUUGGCAACACAGUUUUCUCCUUUUACCAUGGAUGAAAGAGACAAUAAGCUAGAGGCUUUCUGUAAAACGCCAGGCUUUCCCUGCCAUGGGCCUCUCUGCUCCCUAUCUCUCCCGUCCUCCUGACGCUGAGGCUGCCAGGCACUUACUUCCGUAAACACGUCCAGUGCAGCCCCGGCACACUGGCCAGACUGCAGGGCCCGGAGCAGGGCGCCUUCGUCCACGAUCCCUCCACGGGCACAGUUCACCACACGCACCCCCUUCUUGCACUGGGCAAAGGUGUUGUCAUUCAGCAAGCCUGGAAGAAAGCGAAGCAUCUUCCUGCUGGGGCAGCACCAGGAUCCCCACGCUCAUCCCUGGCUUCCAGAGGUCUUCCCUUUCCUUGAGCCAGCUCUUUCCCAGAGCCUCUCUCCUGCUGGACGGCAGCCUCUUUGCUCUCAUCUCUUCCUCCUCAGAUGCUCUGGGGCAGGAGUCCCUGUUAUGGAUCUGGGCCAGACUCAGUUUAGAAACAUCUUAGAAAUUCUUGAGAUAUUACUGUUUCAAGUGGGUCUGGGAAUCAGAAAGCCCUGCAGGGGCUGCAGAAAGCAUCCAUGGGGGUCACUGGUUGUCCCUGUGCCCAGCUUACCUAGACCCCAAGCACUUCUAGCUGGCUCACCCUCCCCUAUCCAACGUAGGGGUGUCUAACAAAACACCAGCCUCUGCAGGACCCAGGUGGACCUCUCCCCACAGCUGGUUACCACUGUCUGGGGAAGGCCCAGAUGGAGGGCCCAUUUGUUAACUGGUCUGUGGCUUCUGUGACCAAUCCACAAUGUAAGGACACACCUACCUGUCGUGGAGGGCAGGAGAGGAGUGUGCACAGUGAUGAAAUCACAGAGAGGCCAGAUCUCCUCCAGGGGCAGCUGCUGAACACCAAAGGAGGCCGAGACCUCUGGGGAAAUGAUGGGGUCAUACCCUAUAGUCUGGUUGGAAGCAAGAGAGAGGGAGGAAGUGUCAUUCUUAAUUAUUAGUAUUGUUAUUAUUAAGAAUGGCAAACAUUUUUUGAGCAUUUACCAUAUACUAACUACCAUGCUCAGCUUAAUUAAUUCUCCAGUUAAUUUACCAUACACUAAGUACCAUGUUCCACAUACUAAGUACUAUUUACCAUAUACUAAGUACCAUGAUCAGCUUAAUUAAUUCUCAUGACCACACAAUGAUGCUGGGACUGUUCUUGUCUGCUUGAGAGCUGAGGGAAGCAGGGCUUCCACAAUGAGGAGGGGCACAGCCAGAGCUCAAAAGAAGGUGCGUCUGCCUCCAUGCUGUGAUCACACACAGAUGCAACAAUAGCUCAUAUAGGUCUGGACAAGGUGGAGCUUGGAAGUCCUUAGAAAGCAGGGAGUCCUGAGGGAGGGAGGGCAGUCAUGUAGGGAGCGGACAGCCAGGAAAGGGAGAAGGAGAAAUGGCAGCUGCAGCUGGAGGGUCCAGUCCAGGAAACAGGUGCAUCAGGUACUAAAACAGAGUGAGCAGAAGCGAAGGAGGAGGACAACAGGGGUACAAGGCAGGACCCAGAGUGGGAGCAAGACUGCAUGCCCUCUAAAUCAGGAAGCCUGACCUGUGUCCUCCCCCAGUCACUGCCCACUGUGUGGAAAGGUACAGGUCAGUUCCCCUGGACCUGGGUCCUCAACCCUAAAUAAAGGAGCUGGGCAGAUGAUUGCAGCCAUCUCUCACUCUCACAUUCAAUCACUGGGAAUUAUUUGAAGAGAAAUCCCCCUUAACCCCGAGACAGAAUGUAAAGAGUGAGCCCAGGAUUAGACAAAAACAAAGAAUACACAGCAUAGUACUUUAACAGCGGUUGUCUCUGGGUAGUGGAAUUAUUUUUCUCCUUUUUGCUUUCCUGUGCUUUCAAGUUUUCUACUACAUUAUUCAUAAAUUACUUUUGAAAUUAGGGAUACAGUAUAGAUACUUUAGAAUAUAAUGGGAAAGAUGGGUGCCAUUGCUCACACCUAUAAUCCCAGCACUUUGGGAGGCUGAGGCAGGAGGAUCAUUUGACCCCAGGAGUCAGAGACUAGCUGGAGAAACAUAGUCAGACCCCCCCCCCUACAAAAAAUUUAAAAAACUAGCCAAGUUUGGUGGCAUGCACCUGUGCCACCCAGAAGGCUGAGGCAGGAGGAUCACUUGGGCCUAGGAGGUUGAGGCUGCAGUGAGCCAAGAUUGUGCCACUGCACUCCAGCCUGGGUGACAGAACAAGAUGUCUCAGAAAAAAAAAAAAAAAUAAAACAAAAUAAAAAAGAACGUAAUAGGAAAGAGGACUUCAAAUUCAGUAAUUCUAGGGCAGAAGCUAAAAUGGUUAUGAUUAAGGUGAAGCCUCUGGAUCCCUUUUUUCAUCAUUAGCCUUGUGGAAUAAGGAAAGCCAAGUGGCCCCACACCAACCAUCAGGCAGGUUUUGGGGAAAGAUGCUGCCUCUCCCACGCCCUAUAAGAACCUCCAGCUCAGAACGCUGGUGGUCUUUUUCAGACACUGCUGCUCCCCUCGGCUGUAACCUACUCAUUUCUGGUGGGGAGGAGAAAGUGUCCAGGCGAGGAGAUGGGAUCCCUGCCAUCGUUGUCACAAGUCUUCUUCGUCUGCUGGCCCUGAGGCCGGCCAGAACAAUGGCCCUGUUCAUCUCUAAUCCAGAUGUAUUUUUUUUUCUCAUAUGGAGUGGGGAGAGGAAGGGAACACCAAUAGAGAUCACAAGGUCCAGCCUGACUGACGUCUACUCCAUGCUCAGGAGCCAAGAACAACCUGGGGGCUGGCAGGAGGAAGGACCCUGCAGGCUGAACCUGGCCCCCUCCACAGACAGGUGACUGGGGCUGGAGGGAGGGGGUUGGGGAGAGGAGCAGGUGAGCAUCUUCCUCAGGGGUGAGCGAAGCACUGACUCAGCUUCCUUCUUUCACAGAGAGUAUCUCAUUUAUCUGCAGAUGACUGCAGGGAAGGAAUCUGGCUGAGCAAACCUCUGUUCUCAUUUUCCAUUUGAGAUAACCAGGGCAGAGAAGAGCUGAACUCAGCUGGGGGUUGGGGUUCCGACACUAGGAGACAACACUGAGGGGAUGGAAAGGGUGACAACAGGCCCAGGACACACGUGCCUGUCAGGGUCCUGGUGUGUCCUGGAAAGGGUCAGAUGUCCUAAUAUACAGACAUUGGAGCACCUCUGGGUACCCACCAUUCAAAGACUACUCCCGGAGAGAAGCCUUGGGGAGAAACAUGAAGGGGUUCCCUCACCUCAAUCCCAGCCCCAGGGCAGACUCCUGAUGUUGAGGCAACAGAGGAAGCCUCACUUUCUAAGCAGGACUCCAGGGCAGCUGGUGGCUCCUACCUGCCUGAGGUCACAGAAGACAGCCCUGAGAGGCUGGUAUGCUGGCUGCAGGGCCUUGCUGGCUCAGCAGAGCAAAGAGGAGAGCAAGGAGGCCUCCCAGUUAAAGAGGCUCUGAAGAAGAACCCUCACCGUCACGUGCUCUCUCUGCCCCACAGCUGAAUUUUUAGUUUAGCAUUGGAACUCUCCCUACCACGGCAAUGAAAUCUUAAACAGAGACCCAAAUAUAAAAAUAGGUCAAUUCAAAGCUGCAGAGGUAAAGGCUCAAUGUGCCACCACCUGCUGUCUCCCUGGGCCCCUCCUUGCUCCCACCUGUGUCCCUAAGGCACCUUGCCAGAACCCGAGGCUCUUGAGUUUGAGAAUCACUGCUCUGGGCAGUAAGCAUUCCAGGUAACACACUGAGAUAGGAGCUGCCCAUCCUGGAGAGUAUCUGUCUUUGGAAUAGCUAAGCAUACCGGCAUGGCACAGGGACUGUUUACCUAAAAUGGAUCAUGAAUAAAGUUAAGUGGUACUGGGCAAAGAAUGCCAGCCUGGAAGGCUGAGCCGAAAUUCACCAGUUCAUAGUUGCAUUAUCUUCAGCAUAUCAUAGAACCUUCCUGGGCCUCAGUUUCCUUAUCUGUAAACCUGGGAUAAUAAUUCUGACCCUGCAGAGUCAUUUCAAGCACAGGAACCGACACAGUAGACCUCAGCAAACAUUAGCUGGACCUGAAAAAAUCGGUGAUAACUGGUGCCUCAGGUUCAACAUCCAACCCUCUGGGCUAAAGUUGGAUUCAUCACAACGCUGGCUACAAAGAAACUGUUAAGAGAUGCUUGUCUGUUCCCUCAAGGAAAACCUUGAUCAUAAAGCACAAGGCUCGCUUCUUGAUUGGUUUGUGCCUCUUAACACAUUCUAAGGAACACACCAGCAUGAAUGAGCUGAGUCUCUGAGGUCACGACCUGUCAUUCAGCAACACUAUUGAGAAAAAGUCUCUCGCAGACACAACAGUAUAGAGCGUUAAGACCUGUAUGACUCAGACCACAGGUAGGCUGCAGGUCAGGCCACAGUGUGAGGAAUGUCACCUCCCUUGCUCCGGAAGCCAUACUUCUUUUAAUGCUGCCAAAUGUCAGGUUACCUUUUCUAUCAGCUAUGCCACUGACAACCACACUGCUCUUUUGUAAACCAAAGCCCUGCUCCCCCAGAAAAGCUUUUGACAAAUGCUUCUACAUCUAAAACUUGUCUAGCUGCUUUUUGGACCCACAAGUAGGGUGCAGAAAUGUAUUCUAGCUAAAUUUCCUGUGAGGGUGCCCAACCAUUCUAGCCUUCAUAUGUCUUUUUGGACCUGAUUCUGCACCCUUAAGUAUUAACUACCUCUCCUUGCUUCCUGCCAUCCACAAAUGACACAUGGUUCAGGCUGUUGAUGAGAAUGGUGGGCAAGGUGGAGCACUAUUGCAUACUAUCUCCCUCCAAACUGAGGUGGCCCAUUCCACAACAGCACCAAGCACUAAUCCCUUCAAUAGCACCAAGCUCAAGGGGCUCCAUCCGAACCCCGAGGGAAUCAUGAAAGAUGUCUUACCAAAGUCCAUAUCUAUACACAAUCUAAAUACCCAUCAUUGAGAGAAUGGCCAAAUAAAAAGCAAUUUAUCUGCACAAUAAAAUUCCACACAACUGUUUAAAAAUAUGCUAGAUUUAGUUGUUCUGAGAUAAACAUGUUUUUUUCUUAACAUCACAAACAAUAUUCUAUUGUUUGCAGCCAAAGAAUCCAUCCACAGGCAUGGAACUGUAUGCAUUCUGUGCAAAUGCAUAGAAAAGUCUCGGAUGACAUGCUAAACUGAUGUUUACCGUGAGGAGACUAGGGUUCAGAUGGUAAUCAAGUAUAGCCUUGUCCAAGUUUUAAUUUAUAUGAGAAUGCAUUCCUUUAUUACAUGAUUAAAACAUAACUUUAAAUAGUCCGGGUAUCUGACAUCUAGGGAUUUCCAUACUCUACCAGUUUAAUAAUGGUUUCCAAAAAGAGGAUGAGGCUAGUAUGAAAUAACUUGUGUUUAAUAAACACUUAUCCUCAUUUCCUGUCUGGGUGCUUAUACAUCUCUUUCACAAUAUGUUCAAGAAUCUUCCUUUCCCUUUAGAAAAUCUUGUUCUCCAAGACCGGUAGAACUGAUGAGCUCUCCGCCCUAAGACAAAAUUCAUCCAGACUCAAAAGUAUGAUAAUGACGUGGUUGAGGUAAGCAGCUGAGCACGAGAAGAGGCCACUUAGACUCUCCGGAAUGAUGAGGUCCAGGCAGCUCCGGAGGGGCUGAGGUGGGAGACGGAAUGAUCCAAGCCAUGUUUCAGGGGUUUACAAAGAGCAUGUUCUGGAAGCAAGACAGUUAAGAAUGACCCUCCAGAGACAUCUGGACAGAAGAAAUGCAAAGUGAAGGCACUGGCACCCUCCACACCAUGCUGGGAAUGGGAAUAAAACAUUCAGUGGGUGACCUGCUCUGAGGCACAGAUUAACACUGAAAUGAGCAGGCCGUAGACAUCUCUUUCAAUCAAACACAUGCACGAGAGGUGUCAGCCAUUUCCUGACACUGAUGCUCAAGGUCCCAGGUACCCAUGCACCUCUUGGAAGCAUCCCAGGGUAGAGAGUUGGGCAGUGCCAGAUGGACAGACAAGCUUACCUAGCACCUCAAUCAUUCAGGAAUGAGGUGGGGCUUUUCAUCUGGUUGAAGUCGCUGCCGAAGUCUCCAUGAUGAAGAAUAUUGCCAGGAAUAUUGAUGUGUAGUGGUGCCACGGAGAAGGAAGCCUGGGGAAGGGGAGUCAUGGGGAAGAGGACCCCCUGGGGAAGGGGGCAGGAGCCUUGGAACGGCCACUGGUCUGGAGCCUGUCUCCCAGUUACUGCUUCAUCAAUGAAAUGCUCACCUAUUUGGCUAUGAGUGCUCUUAGUUUUACUUAACUCCUGACCUCUGCCUUUUAUAUCAAAAUUCUCCAUGGACUAAACCUUGACCCUUGAUCCCUUACAAAAGAGGAUGGAGGAGGGAGUGCUCUUUGUGGCUUAUGGCAUCCCACCAUCCCUGCACAGAGGGCAAGGCUGUGGUUUGUUUACAUGAUCAAUGAUCCUGCUGGGCUACAUCUGCCUCUCUCAGGAGUCCAGGGAUCAAGAAUACACCUGGCCCUUCUCAGUGCAGAGGCUUAGGAAAGAUAUCUGGCUGACUUAAAUAAAUAAGAUGGGGAGUGGAGGCAGGAGGGAGAGGAUAAUAUUCAAUGUGUACAAUGGGAUGCUCACCAGGCUCUAGGCUACUGUCCAUUUGCUAUGAGUCCUUAGGCAUAAGCUUACAAAUUCUAGAUGUCAAUGUAAAAUUAAGGGUUAAUCUAUUAAGAUCCCUUCUAACUCUAAGAAGGUAGGAGGGAUGUAGAAAAAGGGAGAGUUCCAUAGCAGCUCUAUGUAAACUUUUCUAGAUUUGACAUGAUCUGGUUGUCAAAACUGAUCUCCUAAUGUUUAAAGACUUCCUGGCUGCAGUUUGACCCCAUAAUCCCUGUAAUUCCCUAAAACAGAAAGUGAACAGAGAGAUGUCCCAUAGUAGCCUUAGUGGGUUCAUCUCUUUGGCCUAUCUGGGAAGCCCUGCAGAUCCCCUCUCUUAGCUGAAUUGCCUCUCUCAUUUGCAAGGUCUCCUGGAUUAGCCCAAGUGGGUGGCACUGCUACUGAUGGCAACCAGAGGGUUGCAAUCAGGCUAAGGGAGUAGCCAGAAGCCUACUGAGCUCCCAGAGUAGGAAAAGGCAGAGACCUGGGGGAAGACAGGAGUUAGGUGUGAUUUCUGAGACCGGUGUGAGGUCUUCCAGCCACCAUAGGCUCUACAAUCAUAUCAUAGUGUACAUACAAGCACUUUUAAAUCUUUUCUGAAAUAUGGAGGGAAACUGGAAGGACAGAUGGACAAUGGAUGUAAGGCUCUACUGUGAGGCCAUAAACUUGUUCCUGUUUUCUAAAUUAUCACAGGAAAGCAGACAAAACAAAAGCAGGAAGGAAAGAAAGAAUGGGCAGGACACAAGCACCCUCCCUGUGAGGCAGGAUAGGUAAUCAAGGAAGUGCAGCAACCUUGGUGAUCCUAUAGUCAACACAAUAAGCCUCGGUAUUCAUAUUCUAACUGAGCUCAUUCAAGCAAAGCUAUCUUCAGUAGGGAACUUCCCAUCUAGACAGCCUGUGCACUUUGAUUUUUCCUGUCCUCAAACUGACCCCCUGGCUCAUUAUAAUAGUAAAAAACACACUCCUGGGUGGAGAUUUAAGAUGCUAAUAAGACAUGUGCCAAAUGAACAAGAAUGUACAGCUACUACUCAUGUGCACCCAGAGGACCACCCAAAACAUGCUUACUAGUAACAGCUCUUCCCACCUCCUUAUGAAUAAUCAUGUAAAACUCCUAUAAAGGGAGUUUCUCCAGCAAUAAUCAACACUGCCUCAUUCGUUUUUGUUUUUGUUUCUGUUUUUUAAGACGGAGUCUCGCUCUGUCGCCCAGGCUGGAGUGCAGUGGCAUGAUCUCGGCUCACUGCAAGCUCCGCCUCCCGGGUUCACGCCAUUCUCCUGCCUCAGCCUCCCAAGUAGCUGGGACUACAGGCGCCCGCCACCACGCCCGGCUAAUUUUUUUUUUUUUUUUUUUAGUAGCGAUGCGGUUUCACCAUGUUAUCCAGGAUGGUCUUGAUCUCCUGACCUCAUGAUCUGCCUGCCUCGGCCUCCCAAAGUGCUGGAUUACAGGCGUGAGCCACCGCGCCCGGCCAACACUGCCUCACUCUUAUGAGCAGCCCACCCUGAAUUCUCUCUCUCCCGAGGUGUACUGUCUACUCUGCACUUAACUUUCAAAAUAUUCUUUUUCCUUUGCAAUAAACUCCUCAAUGCUGCACCGUGUCUCUUGUUUAAAUUCUUUUAAACUAAGAAGACAGGAACCAAAGUCUCAAAAGAGCCAUCAACACCUGGUUCACUGGGACUCAGGGCUAUUCACUCACCAGAGAGCUAAAGGACCCCCACCAAGUAUUUCCAGCUUUUGAGUCCAGAUCAGCAGGCCAGUGUUCUCUCCCUCCUUGACUUUAACACUUAUUUAGAUGGGGGCUCCAAGAGAGGGUCAGACCCUCCUAGAACAAAGCUUCUGGCUUCUGCCCAGACAUGCUGCCUUUCCCAAAAUUGCUGCAGAAAGUCCCACAUCACAGGGUUCCAGCAACAUCUUACCUUCAUCCCAAAGGACUGCAUCCGGGUAGCUACCUCUCUCCCAAUCCUGCCCAGGCCAAGAAUUCCCAGGGUCUUUCCAUUCAGCUCUGUUCCCAUGAACUGCA
rnacentral:lncRNA from 1 species